AAGACCCUGCUGUGUUCGUGAUAGGCCGAUUAAUUUUGGCCCAACACCAAAAUUAAGGGAGCCUGGUCUCUGGGGGCGGCUUGCAGGCCCUUCACGGAAAGGGAAGCGAAAAGCCACCAGGAGGGCACCCACCUGCACCAGAGCAGGUUCAAAACAAUCGGCCCCACACGACUCGGUGGGGCUUUU
rnacentral:other from 1 species